rnacentral:rRNA from 1 species
GAUGAACGCUAGCGGGAGGCCUAACACAUGCAAGCCGAGCGGUAUUGUUUCUUCGGAAAUGAGAGAGCGGCGUACGGGUGCGUAACACGUGUGCAACCUGCCUUUAUCUGGGGGAUAGCCUUUCGAAAGGAAGAUUAAUACUCCAUAAUAUAUUGAACGGCAUCGUUUAAUAUUGAAAGCUCCGGCGGAUAGAGAUGGGCACGCGCAAGAUUAGCUAGUUGGUGAGGUAGCGGCUCACCAAGGCGAUGAUCUUUAGGGGGCCUGAGAGGGUGAUCCCCCACACUGGUACUGAGACACGGACCAGACUCCUACGGGAGGCAGCAGUGAGGAAUAUUGAUCAAUGGGUGCAAGCCUGAACCAGCCAUCCCGCGUGAAGGACGACUGCCCUAUGGGUUGUAAACUUCUUUUGUAUAGGGAUAAACCUACCCUCGAGAGGGUAGCUGAAGGUACUAUACGAAUAAGCACCGGCUAACUCCGUG